rnacentral:rRNA from 1 species
GACAGAGGUGCCGAGCGUUAGGCGGAAUCACUGGGCUUAAAGCGUGUGUAGGCGGAUCGUUAAGUGCCUUGUGAAAUCCCACGGCUCAACCGUGGAACUGCUUGGCAUACUGGCGAUCUUGAGCCACUUAGGGGCUACCGGAACAAAUGGUGGAGCGGUGAAAUGCGUAGAUAUCAUUUGGAACGCCAAUGGUGAAAACAGGUAGCUGGGAGUGUGCUGACGCUGAGACACGAAAGCCAGGGAGCAAACGGG